rnacentral:rRNA from 1 species
UACGGGAGGGCAAGCGUUGUUCGGAAUUACUGGGCGUAAAGGGCGCGUAGGCGGCCUGCUAAGUCGGACGUGAAAUCCCUCGGCUCAACCGGGGAACUGCGUCCGAUACUGGUGGGCUCGAAUCCGGGAGAGGGAUGUGGAAUUCCAGGUGCAGCGGUGAAAUGCGUAGAUAUCAGGAAGAACACCAAUGGCGAAAGCAGCUCUCUGGGACGGUACUGACGCUGAGACGCGAAAGCGUGGGGAGCGAACAGG